GGAGUUUGGGCCGUGUCUCAGUCCCAAUGUGGCCGUUCAACCUCUCAGUCCGGCUACGCAUCGUCGCCUUGGUAAGCCAUUACCUCACCAACAAGCUAAUACGCCACAGGCCCAUCCAAAAGCGAUGCUUUAAAGGCACCUUUUAACAUAGAAACGAAUCUAUGUAUCAUCCGGUAUUAGCUACCGUUUCCAGUAGUUGUCCCAGACUUAAGGGUAGGUCACCCAUGUGUUACUCACCCGUCCGCCACUAGGUGGAAGAUCCAAAUCAGGAAUCGUGCAAGCACUCAUCCGUCAUUGGGCCACCUCGUUCGACUUGCAUGUCUUAGGCAUGCCGCCAGCGUUCAUC
rnacentral:rRNA from 1 species